CGGGGCCAGCGCCACGCGGGGCACUGCGGCCGGGCGCUCGGUGAACACGUAGUACAGCACGCGCUGGCCCACCAUGAAGUGCCGCUCGGCCGUCUCCAGGAAGCGCGCCAGGCACUCAAAGGUACAAAAGAGUAUAUACAGUGCAGUCUUUCCUGGUCCCCGCCACUCAGCUGCUCUGCGUGAAGGAAAAACACAGAGUUAGCAAUUUAGAAAAACAACAACCACAGCCUUCCUACUGCCGGCAAGAUCAAGUCUAUACCUCUUAGCCCCGACCAGGGAGCCUUCAGAAUCCGGCUCCUUCGCUGUCACAUUUGAAGUGCUCUCGCCUGAGCUGGCUUCCCCACCUCUAGAACUGGGUACUCACAGCGGGCGGACCAAGGACAGUCUUGCAGAUUUGAAAAAGCAAAUGGACAUCAGCAACCCCAGUGCUGACAGGCGGGGAACUGGAUGAAUGAGUGACGGAAAGCAACUAUACCACGGAGAGCAGCACGACCCCCAAAAAGGAUGAGGUGGACGUAUGCCUAACCUCUGGAAAAGAGGUCCCGAUGUAUUAAGUGCAAAUGGAAGUGACGGGAGUAUAGAUAGAAGCUGGUCUCACUUCCGGGAGGAGGAAGCCCCUACACGUACGUGCCCAGGCAUUUACGGACGUGCCCGUCUGUGGUCUUGUGUAAACAGGCAGGAGAAGCAUUGUCCAGUGGAAGUACAAUGGGAGCCACAUUUAUAAACCGAAAUUUUCUAGUAGUCACAUAAAAAAUGUGAAAAGGAGCAGCUGAAAUGAAUUUUAAUAAUACUUUAAUUUAACCCGAUAUUUCCAAAAUAUCCCUUCAACAUACAAUCAAUAUAAAAAUUACGGAGAUGUUUUAUAUUCUUGUUUUGUACUAAGUCUAAAUACUUUUGUUGUUGUUAAAGAACAACAGGCCCCAAACAGAGUCACACCUACUAAGCCCCCGAUCAGCAAACCAAACCGGUUAGCACCUAACCCUAACUGCAGCAGAACCCGGCCCAGAAAUGUGCCUUCAACCAGUCAGUCUGGAAUUACCUGGUCAGCCCUAGUGAGAUUCUCUGCCUGAUACACCCCCGCCUUCCCCCAAAGGAAAGUGACCCUGCUUGAAACAGUCCACUCUUUGCUAGAAGCUUCCUUUCCUCCACCUCCUGCCUAUAAAAGCCUUCCAUUUUGUACAGCUGCUCAGAGCUCCUUUCUGUCUGCUGAGAUGAGAGCUGCCUGAUUCAUGAAUCAUUAAAUAAAGCCAG